UACGUAGGGAGCAAGCGUUGUCCGGAAUCAUUGGGCGUAAAGCGCGCGUAGGCGGCCUCGUAAGUCCGUUGUGAAAGUCAAAGGCUCAACCUUUGAAAGCCGAUGGAUACUGUGAGGCUAGAGUCCGGAAGAGGCGAGUGGAAUUCCUGGUGUAGCGGUGGAAUGCGCAGAUAUCAGGAGGAACACCAAUAGCGAAGGCAGCUCGCUGGGACGGUACCGACGCUAAGGCGCGAAAGCGUGGGGAGCGAACAGG
rnacentral:rRNA from 1 species